rnacentral:rRNA from 1 species
AGAGUUUGAUCCUGGCUCAGGACGAACGCUGGCGGCGUGCCUAAUACAUGCAAGUCGUACGCUUCUUUUUCCACCGGAGCUUGCUCCACCGGAAAAAGAAGAGUGGCGAACGGGUGAGUAACACGUGGGUAACCUGCCCAUCAGAAGGGGAUAACACUUGGAAACAGGUGCUAAUACCGUAUAACAAUCGAAACCGCAUGGUUUUGAUUUGAAAGGCGCUUUCGGGUGUCGCUGAUGGAUGGACCCGCGGUGCAUUAGCUAGUUGGUGAGGUAACGGCUCACCAAGGCCACGAUGCAUAGCCGACCUGAGAGGGUGAUCGGCCACAUUGGGACUGAGACACGGCCCAAACUCCUACGGGAGGCAGCAGUAGGGAAUCUUCGGCAAUGGACGAAAGUCUGACCGAGCAACGCCGCGUGAGUGAAGAAGGUUUUCGGAUCGUAAAACUCUGUUGUUAGAGAAGAACAAGGAUGAGAGUAACUGUUCAUCCCUUGACGGUAUCUAACCAGAAAGCCACGGCUAACUACGUGCCAGCAGCCGCGGUAAUACGUAGGUGGCAAGCGUUGUCCGGAUUUAUUGGGCGUAAAGCGAGCGCAAGCGGUUUCUUAAGUCUGAUGUGAAAGCCCCCGGCUCAACCGGGGAGGGUCAUUGGAAACUGGGAGACUUGAGUGCAGAAGAGGAGAGUGGAAUUCCAUGUGUAGCGGUGAAAUGCGUAGAUAUAUGGAGGAACACCAGUGGCGAAGGCGGCUCUCUGGUCUGUAACUGACGCUGAGGCUCGAAAGCGUGGGGAGCAAACAGGAUUAGAUACCCUGGUAGUCCACGCCGUAAACGAUGAGUGCUAAGUGUUGGAGGGUUUCCGCCCUUCAGUGCUGCAGCUAACGCAUUAAGCACUCCGCCUGGGGAGUACGACCGCAAGGUUGAAACUCAAAGGAAUUGACGGGGGCCCGCACAAGCGGUGGAGCAUGUGGUUUAAUUCGAAGCAACGCGAAGAACCUUACCAGGUCUUGACAUCCUUUGACCACUCUAGAGAUAGAGCUUCCCCUUCGGGGGCAAAGUGACAGGUGGUGCAUGGUUGUCGUCAGCUCGUGUCGUGAGAUGUUGGGUUAAGUCCCGCAACGAGCGCAACCCUUAUUGUUAGUUGCCAUCAUUCAGUUGGGCACUCUAGCAAGACUGCCGGUGACAAACCGGAGGAAGGUGGGGAUGACGUCAAAUCAUCAUGCCCCUUAUGACCUGGGCUACACACGUGCUACAAUGGGAAGUACAACGAGUCGCGAAGUCGCGAGGCUAAGCUAAUCUCUUAAAGCUUCUCUCAGUUCGGAUUGCAGGCUGCAACUCGCCUGCAUGAAGCCGGAAUCGCUAGUAAUCGCGGAUCAGCACGCCGCGGUGAAUACGUUCCCGGGCCUUGUACACACCGCCCGUCACACCACGAGAGUUUGUAACACCCGAAGUCGGUGAGGUAACCUUUUUGGAGCCAGCCGCCUAAGGUGGGAUAGAUGAUUGGGGUGAAGUCGUAACAAGGUA